GACGUAGGAUGCAAGCGUUGUCCGGAUUUAUUGGGCGUAAAGAGUUCGUAGGCGGUUUGUUAAGUCUGAUGUUAAAGACUGAGGCUCAACCUUGGGAGUGCAUUGGAUACUGGCAGACUGGAGUAUGGUAGAGGUCAGUGGAAUUCCCAGUGUAGCGGUGAAAUGCGUAGAUAUUGGGAAGAACACCGGUGGCGUAAGCGACUGACUGGGCCAUAACUGACGCUGAGGAACGAAAGCCAGGGGAGCGAAUGGG
rnacentral:rRNA from 1 species